UCAUCCAAAUAGAGUUUAUUUUUAUCGCUGAGAUAUAGAAGAGAAAAAAAUGUUAACAACAAUAUUACGCCGAAUUCCACAAGUUGCUUCAAUUGAACGGUAAGAGAAUUUAUAAAUUUGAACAUUGCAAUUGGAGUGAGAGAAUUGCUGUUUCUGUUGCUGGCUAUUCCCAAAAAAACUACAAUCGAUCAGUUGAUAAUAACAAAAAUUGUAGAUACACAAAACCAAACAGUGUCGACAAUUAUAUGACGAAUUCUGUGAAUAGUUCGUUGUCAAGUGGGAGAAACGAUGGACCGAUUUUGUAUCAUGAUGAAGCGUUGUCAGCCGCUCAGCAUGACAUGGUUUUAACAGACCUAAAUCAAAAAAAAACUCGCUGAUAUUGGCAAUCAUCACGGAAUGCCAAAUUUGAGCGAAGGGGGGUUUAGUGCGUCACCGUUUCCGGUUGAUGGUAUAAUUUACGGUAAAAAUAAUCGGUUGAUGAUCUGCCUAAACUGUCAGCGUGCCGAAAAGCCGACUGCACCGAUUGUCAACGUCUGGUUUUUCGUUGACACUGGCGAUGUAUGGGCCCAAAUGUAAUGCUAUCAGUUAUUUUGUUGCAAUACAGGAUUCGAAGUCUGAAAUCUUAUGCGACAUUUCGCACAGUCACUUCACAGACGUGAACGUUUUGGGUGUGGCGGCCAUGCUUGAACUGAAAGUAUCGAUCGAAAGUAUGAACGCCGAACGAAAAUACUUCCGACUCGCCAGAAUUUCCACAACCAAAUGAGGAUUGCUAUGGAGAAAAGUCUGCAUGUCUUUCUCUUAUUAUUCGAAAAUAUAAACGGCAAAUUUGUCUGUUUUUUUUUUCUUUUUCGUAUUGUAACACAUUCGAUUAAAACAUUAUUGCUUCAAAAAUGAGAAAUGAAUGAUAUAGCGUUUGAAAUGAAGUACAUACACUUUAAAAUUGCA